GUGAGGUGGAGCAAAACUCAAAAACUUAGUCUCAGUUCGGAUUGUAGGCUGAAACUCACCUACAUGAAGCUGGAGUUGCUAGUAAUCGCGAAUCAGCAUGUCGCGGUGAAUACGUUCCCGGGCCUUGUACACACCGCCCGUCACACCAUGAGAGUUGGCAAUACCCAACGUACGUGAUCUAACCCGCAAGGGAGGAAGCGUCCUAAGGUAGGGUCAGCGAUUGGGGUGAAGUCGUAACAAGGUACC
rnacentral:rRNA from 1 species